rnacentral:rRNA from 1 species
AGUGAACGCUGGCGGCAGGCCUAACACAUGCAAGUCGAGCGGCAGCGCGGGGGCAACCCUGGCGGCGAGCGGCGGACGGGUGAGGAAUUCGUCGGAAUCUGCCUUUUUGUGGGGGAUAACGUAGGGAAACUUACGCUAAUACCGCAUACGUCCUACGGGAGAAAGUGGGGGACCGCAAGGCCUCACGCAGAAAGAUGAGCCGACGACCGAUUAGCUAGUUGGUGGGGUAAAGGCCCACCAAGGCGACGAGCGGUAGCUGGUCUGAGAGGAUGAUCAGACACACGGGGACGGAGACACGCCCCAGACUCCUACGGGAGGCAGCAGUGGGGAAUAUUGGACAAUGGGCGCAAGCCUGAUCCAGCCAUGCCGCGUGUGUGAAGAAGGCCUUCGGGUUGUAAAGCACUUUUGUCCGGAAAGAAAUCCCUGGAGCUAAUACCUUCGGGGGAUGACGGUACCGGAAGAAUAAGCACCGGCUAACUUCGUG